AGCUUCAAGCAGGAGAUAAAGCUUGGCCCAGGGCCCAAAGGGGAUACGACCCUUCAGGUUGGCCCUGACCUCUGGGUUGGAUUACCAGUGACACAAUGAACAUUUCAUUAUGAGGCCAUCCCUUGAGCAAACUGACAUGCUGAAAGCUGCCCUAUGGAGAGGCUCAUGUGGCAAGGAACAGAGGGUGGCUUCUGGCCAACACCCAGUGAGGAACUCAGGCCCUCAGUCAAACAGCCUGCAAGGAACUGAACCCUGCCAAUAACCCAGCUGGGUUGAAAGCUUCCCUUUGGAGAAGAACUGAGGGCUGUCUCUGGUCAAUAGCACUGAGGAACUGAAUCCAGCAAACAAUUAUGUGAAGAAACUUGGAAGCUUGUCCUCCCCUCUAGUUGAGCUUUGAGAUGACUGCCGCCCUAGUGGACACCUUGAUUGAAGCCUUAUGAGAAACCCUAAGCCAGAGAACCCAAUUAAGCUACGCUUACAUUCCUAACACAGAGAAAAUAUGAGCUAAUAAAUGUUGUUUCAAACCACUAA
rnacentral:lncRNA from 1 species